rnacentral:rRNA from 1 species
GUGGGGAAUAUUGGACAAUGGGCGAAAGCCUGAUCCAGCCAUGCCGCGUGAGUGAUGAAGGCCUUAGGGUUGUAAAGCUCUUUCAGUAGGGAAGAUAAUGACGGUACCUACAGAAGAAGCCCCGGCUAACUUCGUGCCAGCAGCCGCGGUAAUACGAAGGGGGCUAGCGUUGUUCGGAUUUACUGGGCGUAAAGCGCACGUAGGCGGAUUGGUCAGUUAGAGGUGAAAUCCUGGAGCUCAACUCCAGAACUGCCUUUAAUACUGCCAGUCUAGAGUACAGAAGAGGUGAGUGGAACUCCUAGUGUAGAGGUGGAAUUCGUAGAUAUUAGGAAGAACACCAGUGGCGAAGGCGGCUCACUGGUCUGGUACUGACGCUGAGGUGCGAAAGCGUGGGGAGCAAACAGGAUUAGAAACCCCUGUAGUCC